rnacentral:misc_RNA from 1 species
GAAAUGCGAUAAGUAAUGUGAAUUGCAGAAUUCAGUGAAUCAUCGAAUCUUUGAACGCACAUUGCGCCCGCCAGUAUUCUGGCGGGCAUGCCUGUUCGAGCGUCAUUACAACCCUCAGGCCCCCGGGCCUGGCGUUGGGGAUCGGCGGAAGCCCCCUGCGGGCACAACGCCGUCCCCCAAAUACAGUGGCGGUCCCGCCGCAGCUUCCAUUGCGUAGUAACUAACACCUCGCAACUGGAGAGCGGCGCGGCCACGCCGUAAAACACCCAACUUCUGAAUGUUGACCUCGAAUCAGGUAGGAAUACCCGCUGAACUUAAGC